GUGCUCACUUUAGCAGCACACAUAUUAAAAUUGGAACAAAACAAAAAAGACUAGCAUAGCCCCUUCAAAAGGAUGACACACAAAUUUGUGAAGCUUUCUAUAUAUUU